GGAAUUGAAAAUGUUGUACAAAAAUGCCAUGGUGGCCAUGUAAAUGGGAUUGGUCCCACACAUUGUGUGGCCAAUUUUAAUUGGUCCAACACAUUGUGUGGGCCAAGACACUUGGAGAUAUUUGUGGGACUUAAAAAGAUGACCAUAAGUCAUCUUCUUGUCAUUUAACAUUUAGAGAAAACAAGACUUUGAGAGCUCCCUUCACCCCCACUGUUUCGGCGCACCACAAGAAAAACCAAAUCAAAUUCUAGCUCUUCUAAAAAUACUUCUUUGGUAUAGACCCACUAUCUUGAAGUCCCUAAGUAGCGUGGAAGUGCUAUUUGGGUCAUCCAACCAUUAGUAGUGCCCAUUUGCAAACCCUAGCUAUUGAUAGAAGUGAAGAACAAAGACCUUGGGGAGCCCGAGGCGUAGAUUUGGAGUAGCUUUAGAUUGGCUAGCUUGGAAGUGCGUUCGAGGUAUGUAAGGCAACUUCCCUUCUUUUUGGCAUGUCUUAGUUUUUAUAGGCUAAAUUAGAGCCUUAAGGAAACUCUCAAAUCCGAAAUCCGAGCGUGUCAUGAUCCGCAUAUGUUCUGUGGUACUCUUAUGUAUGAUUUGAUGAAAUAUGAACCUUUAUGUGUUUGAAAAAUCGCUUUUCGAACUUUGCGCAAAGGGGUUUCACUUUAAGGAACUUUGAAUUAUCCGAAUGCCAUAUCUUUCACAUAAGUGCUCGGAUUGCUCCAACAUAUUUUUAUAAAAGUUUGUAUUACGUAUAACUGGUAUGUUUUCCAUAAGCGGGCCGACUUGGGUAAGUUCCCAUCUGUGGGUCCCGCGCCUUCCCUUUAUGAAAUUCGGGAGAUUUUGAAGGAAUUUGUUAAGACUAUUAUUUCGAUUUUCAAAUAUGAUCGUUUUGCUUAUGUAUGAAUUUAUGA